rnacentral:lncRNA from 12 species
CUCCAAAGUCCAUGUUUAUUUCAUUUCAUCAGACAGUUUUAAUGUACAUCAACCUCUUUUUCAACAAAAUUACUGGCAAUCUGAGGCAGUGUCUUAUGAAAGAAGUAGCAGCAGAAAGACGUGAUAUUUAUGCAGUUCAUAUGAAGUGCGAGGAGGAAGCCAACUGCAAAGUGCUGGAAUUGUUCAUUUUAAUGAGAAGGAAGCAUCAUUCCCACUAAAGAAACAUGAUUACUAGAGAUGAUAAUCAGAACCCAGUGUGAAUAGUCAUUCUUUCUUCUGCCACCACAGAGGGGAGAACCAGGGGACCAGGUAAACUCCUUCCUUGCAGCUCAGACCAGGCCUGCUUUCAUCAAUUCUCUGCUGCCCUUGGGAUUUUUCAAUACCCCGAGUUUUGAGGAGACCAGUGAUUCACCCUUUUUCUACAGCCAGCCGACAGAUCACACAGUGACCGUGGCUUUGAGGUGACAUGAGCAGUUGUUCAAAGUCGAGCUGUUUCAAUUUAUCUCUUCCUUUUCAAUUUAAGCUUCUUUCCAAAGGAGCUAUAAACUAUUCUAGUUGAAGCUAUUUCCUUUCAUCACGGCUCCCUCAGAUGAAAGACAAGGCAAACAUCAUCCAGUAGGACAAUGGUAUUUGGGUGCUUUCCUUGCUUUCUUGUUGCCAAAGAAUGAUCAAAUUCUGAUCUGAAGACCAUUUGACAAGACACUUCAGGUUGGCCUCUUAUGGUCUUAAUAUUUAUGUCGUAAAAAUCUCUGGAACAGCAUUAUUCAAUAGAAAUAUAAUGUUAAGUCACAAAUGUGAACCUCAUAUUAAAUUUUCUAGAAUCCACA